rnacentral:rRNA from 1 species
AUUGAACGCUGGCGGCAGGCCUAACACAUGCAAGUCGAACGGUAACAGGGAUCAGCUUGCUGAUUCGCUGACGAGUGGCGGACGGGUGAGUAAUGUCUGGGAAACUGCCUGAUGGAGGGGGAUAACUACUGGAAACGGUAGCUAAUACCGCAUAACGUCGCAAGACCAAAGAGGGGGACCUUCGGGCCUCUUGCCAUCGGAUGUGCCCAGAUGGGAUUAGCUAGUAGGUGGGGUAACGGCUCACCUAGGCGACGAUCCCUAGCUGGUCUGAGAGGAUGACCAGCAACACUGGAACUGAGACACGGUCCAGACUCCUACGGGAGGCAGCAGUGGGGAAUAUUGCACAAUGGGCGCAAGCCUGAUGCAGCCAUGCCGCGUGUAUGAAGAAGGCCUUCGGGUUGUAAAGUACUUUCAGCGGGGAGGAAGGGAGUAAAGUUAAUACCUUUGCUCAUUGACGUUACCCGCAGAAGAAGCACCGGCUAACUCCGUG